AGAGUUUGAUCCUGGCUCAGGAUGAACGCUAGCUACAGGCUUAACACAUGCAAGUCGAGGGGAAACGAUAUUGGAAGCUUGCUUCCGAUAGGCGUCGACCGGCGCACGGGUGAGUAACGCGUAUCCAACCUGCCCAUCACUUGGGGAUAACCUUGCGAAAGUAAGACUAAUACCCAAUGACGUCUCUAGAAGACAUCUGAAGGAGAUUAAAGAUUUAUCGGUGAUGGAUGGGGAUGCGUCUGAUUAGCUUGUUGGCGGGGUAACGGCCCACCAAGGCGACGAUCAGUAGGGGUUCUGAGAGGAAGGUCCCCCACAUUGGAACUGAGACACGGUCCAAACUCCUACGGGAGGCAGCAGUGAGGAAUAUUGGUCAAUGGGCGAGAGCCUGAACCAGCCAAGUAGCGUGCAGGAUGACGGCCCUAUGGGUUGUAAACUGCUUUUAUAAGGGAAUAAAGUGAGUCUCGUGAGACUUUUUGCAUGUACCUUAUGAAUAAGGACCGGCUAAUUCCGUGCCAGCAGCCGCGGUAAUACGGAAGGUCCGGGCGUUAUCCGGAUUUAUUGGGUUUAAAGGGAGCGUAGGCCGGAGAUUAAGCGUGUUGUGAAAUGUAGACGCUCAACGUCUGCACUGCAGCGCGAACUGGUUUCCUUGAGUACGCACAAAGUGGGCGGAAUUCGUGGUGUAGCGGUGAAAUGCUUAGAUAUCACGAAGAACUCCGAUUGCGAAGGCAGCUCACUGGAGCGCAACUGACGCUGAAGCUCGAAAGUGCGGGUAUCGAACAGGAUUAGAUACCCUGGUAGUCCGCACGGUAAACGAUGGAUGCCCGCUGUUGGUCUGAAUAGGUCAGCGGCCAAGCGAAAGCAUUAAGCAUCCCACCUGGGGAGUACGCCGGCAACGGUGAAACUCAAAGGAAUUGACGGGGGCCCGCACAAGCGGAGGA
rnacentral:rRNA from 1 species